rnacentral:rRNA from 1 species
CGCAAGACCAAAGAGGGGGACCUUCGGGCCUCUUGCCAUCGGAUGUGCCCAGAUGGGAUUAGCUAGUAGGUGAGGUAACGGCUCACCUAGGCGACGAUCCCUAGCUGGUCUGAGAGGAUGACCGGCCACACUGGAACUGAGACACGGUCCAGACUCCUACGGGAGGCAGCAUG